rnacentral:lncRNA from 1 species
CUUCCACCUCAUCUUGCUCAGGUCUAAGCAUACGGUAGUUGUUCAGUGGAGAAUUACGGAUUUGAAGGGAGGCAGGAAGCUGUGGCCACCAAUGGAAUUGGGGAGGAUAGGAGGAGGAUUGAGGAAGCCCAGCUCCGGACCUCCUGUCUAGCAGAUAUUGCACUGUCACUUUGCGUUUCCUCCAAGGUACUCAAGGUCUCUGAUUCCACCUUCCCUUAUGAGAAGCUCCACAUCCCCUUCCAUCCCUGGCUCUCAAGUGCCGUAUAUCUACAAAAGUGAAGAUCUGCUCUAAGAUUGGCUGGUGAGUAACCGGAACAGAUCUCUGUUCAGGGCUGGCUGUGUGGCCUGUA